rnacentral:rRNA from 1 species
AUACGUAGGGGGCGAGCGUUAUCCGGAAUUAUUGGGCGUAAAGAGUACGUAGGUGGUUUUGUAAGCGCAAGGUGAAAGACCGCAGCUUAACUGCGGUGAGCCUUGUGAACUGCAAGACUUGAGUGCAGGAGGGGAAAGUGGAAUUCCUAGUGUAGCGGUGAAAUGCGUAGAUAUUAGGAGGAACACCGGUGGCGAAGGCGACUUUCUGGACUGUAACUGACACUGAGGUACGAAAGUGUGGGGAGCAAACAGGAUUAGAUACCCUGGUAGUCCACACCGUAAACGAUGAGCACUAGGUGUUGGCGUAGAAAUACGUCGGUGCCGAAGUUAACGCAUUAAGUGCUCCGCCUGGGGAGUACGCACGCAAGUGUGAAACUCAAAGGAAUUGACGGGG